GACGAACGCUGGCGGCGUGCCUAAUACGUGCAAGUCGAGCGGACGAAUCGAAAGCUUGCUUUUGAUUCGUUAGCGGCGGACGGGUGAGUAACACGUGGGCAACCUGCCCUGUAGACGGGGAUAACACCGAGAAAUCGGUGCUAAUACCGGAUAACACGAAAUGUCGCAUGACGUUUCGUUGAAAGACGGCGCAAGCUGUCGCUACAGGAUGGGCCCGCGGCGCAUUAGCUAGUUGGUGAGGUAACGGCUCACCAAGGCGACGAUGCGUAGCCGACCUGAGAGGGUGAUCGGCCACACUGGGACUGAGACACGGCCCAGACUCCUACGGGAGGCAGCAGUAGGGAAUCUUCCGCAAUGGACGAAAGUCUGACGGAGCAACGCCGCGUGAGCGAAGAAGGCCUUCGGGUCGUAAAGCUCUGUUGUUAGGGAAGAACAAGUAACGCAGUAACUGGCGUUACCGUGACGGUACCUAACGAGAAAGCCACGGCUAACUACGUG
rnacentral:rRNA from 1 species